AACGAACGCUGGCGGCAUGCCUAACACAUGCAAGUCGAACGAGACCUUCGGGUCUAGUGGCGCACGGGUGCGUAACGCGUGGGAACCUGCCCUUAGGUUCGGAAUAACUCCCCGAAAGGGGUGCUAAUACCGGAUAAUGUCUUCGGACCAAAGAUUUAUCGCCUUUGGAUGGGCUCGCGUUGGAUUAGCUAGUUGGUAGGGUAAAAGCCUACCAAGGCGACGAUCCAUAGCUGGUCUGAGAGGAUGAUCAGCCACACUGGGACUGAGACACGGCCCAGACUACUACGGGAGGCAGCAGUGGGGAAUAUUGGACAAUGGGCGAAAGCCUGAUCCAGCAAUGCCGCGUGAGUGAUGAAGGCCUUAGGGUUGUAAAGCUAUUUUACCCGGGAUGAUAAUGACAGUACCGGGAGAAUAAGCUCCGGCUAACUCCGUG
rnacentral:rRNA from 1 species